CCUUUUGAAUACAUCAAUAAUAAUAGUUACCAUUUGGAAUACUUACUGACAGGUGUGAGAACAUCAGACUUACGCAUUUCGUCGUAAAAGUGACUGUUGUCGUUCCUGCUUCACAGAGGAGGGGACUGAGGUGAUUUACCAUCCCACGAGUGGGUAGCACUGGAGGACCUCGGAUUUGUCCCCAGACCCUGGGGGAACUGCUGACAUCCACCAACCCUUAGCAAACAGCAGGUUUCCUGAACCUCUGAGUGAAUGGUUUCAAAUACUACACCGUCUGACUCUGGUCGGAUGCACGAAAGGAACAGGACUUGGCUGUGACUCCUGGCUUCGCAGCUCCUGUACAGUGCUCAUCGGACGGCCUGUGCCCACCAGCUGAGACCCCGCCAGCACAGAGGCCUGGUCCCCUUGCUGUGCAGACCCCCGACACACAGCACGCAGAGCAGCACGGGAAAUGCCGGGUGUCACCAGCUGUUCUUACAAGGCAUUGCACCUGGCUACACUACUUACUGAAUGUAUUUAUCCUCAUGUAUUCAUUUUUUUAUAUUUUGCC
rnacentral:lncRNA from 1 species